UGCAGUCGAGCGGUAACAGGAGAAGCUUGCUUCUCGCUGACGAGCGGCGGACGGGUGAGUAAUACUUAGGAAUCUACCUAGUAGUGGGGGAUAGCUCGGGGAAACUCGAAUUAAUACCGCAUACGACCUACGGGAGAAAGGGGGCAACUUGUUGCUCUCGCUAUUAGAUGAGCCUAAGUCGGAUUAGCUAGAUGGUGGGGUAAAGGCCUACCAUGGCGACGAUCUGUAGCUGGUCUGAGAGGAUGAUCAGCCACACCGGGACUGAGACACGGCCCGGACUCCUACGGGAGGCAGCAGUGGGGAAUAUUGGACAAUGGGGGCAACCCUGAUCCAGCCAUGCCGCGUGUGUGAAGAAGGCCUUUUGGUUGUAAAGCACUUUAAGCAGUGAAGAAGACUCCAUGGUUAAUACCCAUGGACGAUGACAUUAGCUGCAGAAUAAGCACCGGCUAACUCUGUGCCAGCAGCCGCGGUAAUACAGAGGGUGCAAGCGUUAAUCGGAAUUACUGGGCGUAAAGCGAGCGUAGGUGGCUUGAUAAGUCAGAUGUGAAAGCCCCGGGCUUAACCUGGGAACGGCAUCUGAUACUGUUAGGCUAGAGUAGGUGAGAGGAAGGUAGAAUUCCAGGUGUAGCGGUGAAAUGCGUAGAGAUCUGGAGGAAUACCGAUGGCGAAGGCAGCCUUCUGGCAUCAUACUGACACUGAGGUUCGAAAGCGUGGGUAGCAAACAGGAUUAGAUACCCUGGUAGUCCACGCCGUAAACGAUGUCUACUAGUCGUUGGGUCCCUUGAGGACUUAGUGACGCAGCUAACGCAAUAAGUAGACCGCCUGGGGAGUACGGCCGCAAGGUUAAAA
rnacentral:rRNA from 1 species